GAGGGUAUAGCUCAAGAGGUAGAGUGCUUGCUUAGCAUGCAUGAACUUUUGGGUUCAAUCCCCAUUACCUCCA
rfam:Camelus ferus unplaced genomic scaffold scaffold706, whole genome shotgun sequence.